rnacentral:lncRNA from 1 species
GCACUUGAGCUUUUUCUCUAAACUUAUUUUUGAGAAAGUGGUAAAAGUGGGGUUAAGUACUUCAUUGUUCUUCGGAAUUACAGACAUUCAUCUGAAGAAAUGAGAAAAGAUCUCAAGAUAUCCUCUUAAGGAGGAACAUGUCACCGACAUUGGUUUUUGUGAACAUUUACCAAUUUUAUGAACGUUAGUCAAGCCUUUUAUGUCGACAAUGUUCAGGAAUAUAUAUUUGUCCAUGGUAGCCAAGGUUAUUACAUUCAAACACGGAAAAGCAUUCUUUGGGGGGCUUGCAUAACAUAACUCAGGCCAAAUAACUUUUUGAAGCCCCGGUGUGGUAGAAAACUUUGGAGUUGUGAGAAGCUAGAGGAUUAAUUCUCAAUCCUUCAAACUGAGGAGUGCCACAGCUAAUCUUGUGUCAACAGGAAAUUCCAAGUCAUCUUGCACUGAGUCAUCCAAUCAGUGUUAAAAACUGCUCAGGUGAUGGGUACACUGUCUACUCUUCUUGGUUGUGUGAAGGACCACGUCCUUGAGGACAGUGCUGAUACCACAAGGAUUCCGCACAGCUGAGCUCUCUCUCUGCCUUGCUGUUUACAUAAUAGCAAAUACUUUGAAAUUUAGCCGUUACAGAUCAAAUUUUUCAAAUAAUGUAAAGGACUCGUGGGUGAAAUACUGAGAUGACAGGGAUCCUGUAUACUUGAUUCCUUCUUUUCCUUACAUCCAGUUUUUAGCCUAUUUUAACAGACUGACCUCUAUAUACAGUGAUGCACAGCAGUGCCCACUAGAAAAUCUCAAAGCAUCAUUUACUGAUCCCAUGUGAAAUCUAAUUGAUUAUUCUCAUUUACCAAAGCAAACGUUCCACAUCUGUUGUAUCCACCUGUAUUUAUUAACAUCCUAUUCCAUCCUCCCUGUGUUCUUAGAUUUUUUUUUUUUUGAAUAAUCGGAGCAAUGGGAAUCUCUGAAGAGUCUUAUAUAUAUAUAUAAUACACACCACACACACACGAUUUGUAUUUUUAGGAUGAAAUACUUAAGAUGGAUAGCAAGCCCCUUGAUGGUCUUUUCUCCUGGCACCACAUUAUUCUUGGCUUUCUGCUCAAAAGUGACUUCCCUUUGCAAUCUCUAGGUCUUUACAUGCAUUUAAAUGCUCUGUGUGGAAACAUUCUUCCCCAUACUCAACCUUACCUCAGAGUGGCUUAGUAACUUCUUUCCAGAUAGCAGCUCAAAACGUUAGAAACAUCUUUUUGAACUGACUUAACAAGUCCAGUUCUUCUAUUUGCUCUUAAAAGUCAAUGUUUAUUUCCUCCAUGACAUAAUACCAGAAUUUUAUUUGUAUAUAUAUAAAAAAAAUCCCAGUGCCUGUCAUUUGCAGUAGAUGAUGACAUGCUUUCAGGCUGUAGUAUUUCCUGCCUUCCUACUGUUGGUAUUCCCAGUGCCUCACUACCUGGGACAAAACAGGCACUCAAUAACUACUUGUUGAGUAAAAAUAAAUGCUACUCAAAAAUAACUAAACAACUUUAAAGUGAUUGUAUCAAGUUUUAAAGUAUAAUUUAUAUGUUUAAAUUAGGACUCCUAUACAAAUGCAUAAAAACAAAAAUCUGACGAUGUGUGUAAUAUUAAUGAGAGGGGAACAAGGAAGAUGCUAAAACUGGGUUCAAAGGUGAAUUGGAAAGACAGAGAUAAUCAGGCAAUCAGGAAUGCAGAAAUGAAUGUAAUAAUCAUUGCAAAACGGGCUGAAAUUCUAUUGGGUAAUAAAAUUUAAUGCUUGGAGUCUUUUCUACAGAUGGGAAAAUCAAUUUGAUCUUUACUAGACAACAUUCAUUUUUAUUCCUAUGGACAAUAAUGAUUUGCAUGAUACUCAGUUUUCUACAACUUGUGUCCCUAUAGAGGAAUAUGAACAAGCCAAUUGAAAGACUAUCAAAGGUGCUUAUCCUGUGCAAUCAGAUAAUCCCUAGAAGGUCCCCACUCCUCUGAAAGGAUACCUAAUAGUAUUUUUUUUUUUUGCAAUUUUCUAAAUAUUUGACACUUUAUCCUGUAAAAAAAAAAAAAAAUCUAUUUCUUUCUUCAAAAUUGCUGAUAUUCUCAUCUCCAUUCCAGAAGCCUAGAGAACUAUUUGGACAAAUCUGUAAAUCCCGCUGAGGUUUAAUCUUUAGAUCAUAAAUCUAAGCAUCUGUCUCUUAACCCAAAUGGUCAAAAGGUAUUUUGAAUCCUUUUAUAUCAGUUAAGAAUUCAGAGUUCCCAGAUAAAUAAAAUUAUUAGUAGGAAGAAAAUGUCAUGUAGUUUACCUACACUUAUCGCUUGUGUCUCUUUCUGGAGGACAAGGCUGACAGUCCUAAGACAGCCAGAUCCACAUUUCUCGCUUUCAUAAAUGUUUCACUGAGUCUUUUCAACUGAUAAAAUAAGAAAUGGGUAUCUAAAUUAUUGUAAACUGUUUUUAUGAAAGUGAAAAAUAAAGGCCAGAGAGGUUAUAUCUCUAAAAUAUGUUGAUACAAGGGGGAAAAGAUCAUUCAAACCAGAACUAACACAGCUCACUUUCUCCAGUUGAUGCUUAGGUGAUCUUGAGCAAAUGACUUACCUUCUCUGCAUUGUAAUACAAGUAAAGAUACUUGCAUUGUUGAAGCCCCCAGAUACCUCUUAAAGUCUUGAUGCUUUGGACUCGUGGGCCACACUCUGGGUGGAAUCUGAAGCCUUGUGUUUAAGAUCCCACUAACUAAGCCUUGUAGGCUGAAUUAUUCUGAAAUCUUGCUGUGUCUUGAGGCACAUGUUGGGAAGUAGGGACCACUUCCCCCACCUGACAACUUGGUCUGGUCAGAGAGCUGAAGGAACCGAGAACACUGUCUUUUCUUCUCCAUGGGAUGUUAUAUUCCCCCACUUGUUUCUUCUUGUGGUGGAUUAUCUGCUCUCUGCCCUCCAGAUCCACUUUCUAGCCCUGUCUCCCCUGCUCUUGUGUCUCAGAAGCCUGAUGGAUGUGACCAGCAUCAAAAAACGUGUUGCUUCCUUAUUCCUAGCCAUUUGUAUCAUACUGUAUCUUUUUUUUUUUUAAUAUUUCAGUGUCACCCAUCUCAACUUUCUUCCUAAAAGAGACAAUACACUAAGACAUCUAGAACAAUAGCAGAGUGUAGAAAGUAUACAUUUGCUGCCAUGUGUUAGAAAGGUUACUUGUCAGAUACUCUUACCUUCUCUUUAGUCACACUUAACCUUCCAGUUAUUUGACCCUGUCUUAGUCUGCUCCUGUUGCCAUAAUAAAAUACCAGAGACUUGGUGGCUUAAACAGUAGAACUUGAUUUUCUCACAGUUAUGGAAGCUAGAAGGGUGCGAGCAUAGGCAGGCUUUAAUGAAAGACCUCUUCCUGGCUUGUAGACUGUCACCUUCUAGCUGAGAGCGAGCCAGCUCCCCUCUGUUCUUAUAGAGAUGCUAAUCUUAUCAUGAAGCCCUGCCCUCAAGACUUCAUCUAAACCUAAUUAUCUCCCCAAGACUUCAUCUCCAAAUACCAUCUCCAAAUAAACUGGGGAUGGGGCUUCAACAUGCAUGUUUUAGGGGAACACGUUCAGCUUAUUACAGACCCUAAUUUAUCAACUACAUUAUCUUUUUUUUUUUUUUUUAACUUUUUUCCAGUUCUUACAAGACAAAAGAAGUUUGUAUAUUCUUUGUCCUGUAACAGGUGGUUCUUUACUUUUUUCUUUGACUUAAUCUUUUCCCAUGUCCCUUGGUGGUUUCUGUCAGAAUUAACCAAUUUCCCUCUGUGUUCUCUGUUAUACCACAAUUUAUUAGGUAGUCGCAAGUCUGUUUGCCUUUAGGUUAUUAACACAUACAGCACUUAAUAACAAUAAGAAAAGCUGUACCUUUCUCAUUGUUCAUUGUGGUCCUAUGUCAGUGGCUCCGUACACAGUUUUCUUUACUUUUCAUGACAAUCCAGUGAGGGAGGUAGGCAGAGAAUUGGCAUUUUCAGAUAGGUAAGCUGAGUGGAAGUUACUCGUUGAAGGAUACACUUGCAAGAGGUAAUACAAUUUGAAGCUGUAUACUUGACUUGGUGCCCAAGCUCUUAACUGCUUUCAUAACAUAAAGAACAUAGAAAGACAGCAUGAUGUCUCGUUGAAGUAGGUAGACAAUGGAGAGAGAAAACUCGUGUUCAAAUCCCGGUUGUUCUCUGAUCUAGUAGAGUAACUUGGAGAAGGUUCCAUAAGCUCUCUGUGCCUCAGGUUCAUUAUUUCAGGAUGUCUAGGAUUGUGGGAGGGCUAAGUAUGUUAAGACAUGAGGGACCCUCAGAGUAGACGUUUAUAAAUAUCGGUGUUACACGGACUAAUAAUGUUUUAGGAAUGAGCCAAAUUUUUCAAUAGUUGGAAAGAGUAGGAGCUUCAAAAUCCCUAAAAAUACUGUAAAAUAUGCUUCAUGUGACAUUAAGUUAGUGACAGUUAAAAUAGGCUUCAAAUGUCUCUUAAACAAAAAC